AUACGGGGGGUGCAAGCGUUAUUCGGAUUUAUUGGGCGUAAAGGGCGCGUAGGCGGCUUGGUAAGUCAGAUGUGAAAGCCCGGGGCUUAACCCCGGAAGUGCAUUUGAAACUAUCAGGCUUGAGUAUGGGAGAGGGAAGUGGAAUUCCUGGUGUAGAGGUGAAAUUCGUAGAUAUCAGGAGGAACACCGGUGGCGAAGGCGACUUCCUGGACCAAUCCUGACGCUGAGGCGCGAAGGCGUGGGGAGCAAACAGGAUUAGAAACCCCAGUAGUCC
rnacentral:rRNA from 1 species